rnacentral:rRNA from 1 species
UACGUAGGGUGCAAGCGUUGUCCGGAAUUAUUGGGCGUAAAGGGCUCGUAGGCGGUUUGUCGCGUCUGCCGUGAAAGUCCGGGGCUCAACCCCGGAUCGGCCGUGGCGACUGUCGCGCUGGAGCACAGUAGAGGCGGGUGGAAUUCCGGGUGUAGCGGUGGAAUGCGUAGAGAUCCGGAAGAACACCGGUGGCGAAGGCGGCCCGCUGGGCUGUGGCUGACGCUGAGGCGCGACAGCGUGGGGAGCAAACAGG